rnacentral:rRNA from 1 species
AAAAUUCCGGUGGUACGGGACGGGCACGCGCGACAUUAGGUAGUUGGCGGGGUAACGGCCCACCAAGCCGACGAUGUCUAGGGGUUCUGAGAGGAAGGUCCCCCACACUGGAACUGAGACACGGUCCAGACUCCUACGGGAGGCAGCAGUGAGGAAUAUUGGUCAAUGGGCGAGAGCCUGAACCAGCCAAGUCGCGUGAGGGAAGAAUGGUCUAUGGCCUGUAAACCUCUUUUGUCAAGGAAGAAUAGACGGCACGCGUGCUGUUUUGCCAGUACUUGACGAAUAAGCAUCGGCUAACUCCGUGCCAGCAGCCGCGGUAAUACGGGGGAUGCGAGCGUUAUCCGGAUUUAUUGGGUUUAAAGGGCGCGUAGGCGGGACGCCAAGUCAGCGGUAAAAGACUGCAGCUAAACUGUAGCACGCCGUUGAAACUGGCGACCUGGAGACGAGACGAGGGAGGCGGAACAAGUGAAGUAGCGGUGAAAUGCUUAGAUAUCACUUGGAACCCCGAUAGCGAAGGCAGCUUCCCAGGCUCGAUCUGACGCUGAUGCGCGAGAGCGUGGGUAGCGAACAGGAUUAGAUACCCUGGUAGUCCACGCCGUAAACGAUGCUCACUGGAUCUUGGCGAUACACUGCCAGGGUUCAAGCGAAAGUAUUAAGUGAGCCACCUGGGGAGUACGUCGGCAACGAUGAAACUCAAAGGAAUUGACGGGGGCCCGCACAAGCGGAGGAACAUGUGGUUUAAUUCGAUGAUACGCGAGGAACCUUACCCGGGUUUAAAUGUGGAGUGCAUGAGCUGGAAACAGUUCUUUCCCUCGGGACUCUUCACAAGGUGCUGCAUGGUUGUCGUCAGCUCGUGCCGUGAGGUGUCGGGUUAAGUCCCAUAACGAGCGCAACCCCUAUCGCCAGUUGCCAGCGGCUGAGGCCGGGCACUCUGUCGAGACUGCCACCGUAAGGUGCGAGGAAGGCGGGGAUGACGUCAAAUCAGCACGGCCCUUACACCCGGGGCGACACACGUGUUACAAUGGCCGGUACAGAGGGCAGCCACGGGGUGACCCGGAGCGAAUCUCUAAAGCCGGUCGUAGUUCGGACUGGAGUCUGCAACCCGACUCCACGAAGUUGGAUUCGCUAGUAAUCGCGCAUCAGCCAUGGCGCGGUGAAUACGUUCCCGGGCCUUGUACACACCGCCCGUCAAGCCAUGGAAGCCGGGAGUACCUGAAGAUCGUGACCGCGAGGAACGGGCUAGGGUAAUACCGGUAACUGGGGCUAAGUCGUAACAAGGUAGCCGUACCGGAAGGUGCGGCUGGAACACCUCCUU